GACGAACCGAGCGAACGUUGUUCGGAAUCACUGGGCUUAAAGGGCGCGUAGGCGGAUCAUCAAGUCCGGGGUGAAAUCUUUCGGCUCAACCGGAAAAGUGCCUUGGAUACUGAUGGUCUCGAGGGAGGUAGGGGCAGAUGGAACUUCCGGUGGAGCGGUGAAAUGCGUUGAUAUCGGAAGGAACUCCGGUGGCGAAAGCGAUCUGCUGGACCUCUUCUGACGCUGAGGCGCGAAAGCUAGGGGAGCAAACGGG
rnacentral:rRNA from 1 species